rnacentral:rRNA from 1 species
CCAGGCCACCCUGAAAAACACCUGAUCUCAUCUGAUCUCAGUAGCUAAGGAGGGUACUUGGAUGGGAGAUUCAGAGAUCUGGCCAACCUUACAGAGCUUGGA